UACGUAGGUCGCAAGCGUUGUCCGGAUUUACUGGGCGUAAAGAGCGCGCAGGCGGCUGGUCAAGUCCGAUGUGAAAUCUCCCGGCUUAACUGGGAAACUGCAUCGGAAACUGAUCGGCUUGAAGGUGGGAGAGGGUAGUGGAAUUCCCGGUGUAGCGGUGAAAUGCGUAGAUAUCGUUUGGAACGCCAAUGGUGAAAACAGGUAACUGGGAGUGCGCUGACGCUGAGACACGAAAGCCAGGGGAGCGAACGGG
rnacentral:rRNA from 1 species